GCCUAGUGCACAGAGACGGAAAACAAACAAACAAACAAGUAACUACUGUAAAGUUUCAUGUUGAUAAAAGAAAAAUCAUCCACUUGAAGACUUUAUACAAACCUGCAUGAACAUACCGCUCACAAAUGUAAAAAAUUUUUCUUUAAUGUCUAUUUAUUUUUGAUAGAAAAAGAAAACAGGAUCUGAAGAAGGCUAGGCACUGACAGCCUGAUGUGGGGCUCGAACUCAUGAACUGUGAGAUCAUGACCUGAGCCAAAGUUAGAUGCUUAACCAACUAAGUCACUCAGGUGCCCCAUUGCUCAUAAACUUUUCAAGAUAAAGGUUGCUUUUUGGCUUUCGCAAUUUCAUAGAGGUUCUAAAAACACAGGCUUGGGGUACCUGGGCGGCUCAGUUGGGUUGGGUGUCCAGCUCUUGGUUUUGGCUCAGGUCACGAUCUCACCGAUUGCGCGAUCAAGCUCCACAUCAGGCUCCUCACUGAGUGUAGAGCCUGCCUGGGAUUCUCUCCCUCCCUCUCUCUCUACCCCUUCCCCGCUGAUGUGCUCGCUCGCUCUCACUCUCUCUCUCUCAAAAAAAAAAUAAAUAAAAACAGAGGUUUCUAAUAAAAUGACAUCACAUUCCUUGAGCAUAUACUGAUAACGCAGAUGAGCAACCUAAACACAUGGCUGUGACAUCCGGUGGAACGAGCAUGGAAUUUUGAGCUGAGGCAGGUCUGGUUGGAAUCUUGGCUCUAUCACUCAUUACCUUUUAUCAAUUUAGGGUCAGGUGCUUUUCUGGAAAAUUUGCAUGUAUCAACUCAUUUAACCUUUCUAACAACACACAAAAUUGUGCCACCCCUUUACAGAUGAGGGGAUCAAAGGGCUGAGAGGUUAAGUAAUUUGCCUCAGAUCACACAGCUUAGUAAGUGGGAGAGUGAGUUCAGUCUGGUACCAGAGCCUAGGCUCUAGAGCAGUACAUUUUAUUGGCAAGUUUCUUAGCCUCUUAGGAUAGCUGUUGUAAAGGAGAAGAACAAAAAACAUAAGUAAUGCCCCAGCACAGUGGUACACACAGUAGAUGCUUAAUAAAUGGUACUAUUACUACAUGGUGAUUCUAGGCUAAGAAAAAAAUACUAAUGAAAUCCACAGAAUUACAUUCAGAGGGCGCCUGGGUGGCCCAGUCGGUUAAGCACUCAACUCUUGAUUUUGGCUCAGGUCAUGAUCUCGCGGUUUAUGGGAUUGGGCCCUGUGUUGGGCUCCAUGCUGACAGCAGGGAGCCUGCCUGGAAUUCUCUCUCUGCCCCUCCCCUGCUCAUGCAUGGUCUCUCUCAAAAUAAAAUAAAAGAAAAAAAGAAUUACAAUCAGAAAAUUUUAAUUUUGUUCUUUGUGAUUAUAGUGUUCAGCACAAACAUUGUUAAAAAGUUGCUCUCUUAGGUUUAGUCUAAGCAAAUAUUUGCCUUUCAGGAUAUUGCCACAGACAGUUUUGCUUAAUGAUUUUGCUUCUUUCACAGGGGUCCCCGAGUGAGCCCACAUAAGAAGAAUCCAGGGGCGCCUGGUUGGCUCAGUCGGUGGAGUGUCUGACUCUUGAUCUCAGGGUUGUGAAUUUGAGCCCUGCGUUGGGUGUAGAGAUUUACUUAAAAUCUUAAAAAAAAAAUCACUAAAAAAAAAAAAAAAAAAGAAUCCAAAAUCACCAUCAGAAUAAGUGAUUUUCCAAUGAGGUUGUACUGAUUUACACUCCUACCAGCAGUGUGUGAGAGCUCCUAUUGUUCUACUUCCUUGUUAACACUUGGUAUUAUCAGUAUUUAACUUUAGCCACCACAGUAGGCAAGUAAUGCAAUAACGCUGUGCUUUGAGUUUGCAUUUCACUGAUUAUUGAGAUUGAGCACUUUUUCAUAUGUUUAUUGGGUACUGGAUUUCCUCUUCUGUAACAUGUAUAAGUCUUUUGACCAUUUUUCUUUCCAGUUGUCUUUUUCUCAUUGAUUUGUAGGAAUUUAUUAUAUGGUCUGGAUAUUAUACCUCUGUUAGUUAUAUGUGUUGCAGAUACCUUCGUCCAUUUUGUGGCUUGCCUGUUCACUCUUCCUAUGAUAUCUUAUGAAUAUAACGUAGAUUUACUUUAGUCAAAUUUAGCCAUCUUUUCCUUUAUGGAAAGUAUUUUAACCCCUCCUUAUCACUGAAGAUAUUCUUCAGUAUUACUUUGUCAGAGGUUUAUAGUUUUGUUUUUCAUAUUUUGGCCUUUAAUACACUGGAGCUGAUUUUUGUGUAUGGUAUAAAAUUAGGAGCCUGAUUUCUUUCUUGUCUUUUUCCCUAAUGGAUACUCAAUUGUUCCAGCAUGACUUAUGGAAAAAAGUAUCCAUUCCUCACUAGUGACUAUUUAUGUGUGGGAGUGUUUUGGGGAUUCUCUUCCAUUGGGUCUAUUUGAGCAUCUCUAUGCCCUUACCUUAUUAUCUCAAUGUUUUAUAAUAAGUGUUGGUAUCAGAUGGAGCAAGGCCUCUCUCCUUAUUCUUCUAGAAGAAUAUCUUGGCUAUUCCUGAUUCUGUGCAUUUCCAUGAAAAACUUACGAUUAGCUUGCCAAUUUCAAAAUGGUUGAGAUUGCAUGGAAUCAGUGAAUUGAUCUGGGAGGAAUAGACAUCUUUACAACACUGAGUCUUCUAGUCCAUGAACAAAGUAUCUCUCUCCAUCUGUUUAAGAAUUCUUUAAUGUCUCAGGGCACCUGGGUGGUUCAGUCAGUUAAAUGUCCGACUCUUGGUUUCAGCUCAGGUCAUGAUUUCAUGGUUCGUGGGUUUGAGCCCCUACAUCGGGAUCUGUGCUGAUGGCACAGAGCCUGCUUGGGAUUCUGUCUCUCCUCUCUGCCCCUCACCCGCUUGUGCUCUCUCUCUCUAAAUAAAUAAACUUAAAAAAAAAAAAGAAUUCUUUAAUGUCUGAAUAAAUGUUAUAAUUCAUCCUGUGUCUUGAACAUCUUUGUUAAUAUUUGCUCCUAGGUUGUUGAUAAAAAAAAAAAAAAAAAGAUGGGGGUGCCUGGGUGGCUCAGUUGGUUAGGCAUCCAACUUCAGCUAAGGUCAUCAUCUCACGGCUCAUGAGUUCGAGCCCCGUGUCAGGCUCUUGCUGACAGCUCACAGCCUGGAGCCUGCUUUGGAUUCUGUGUCUCCCUUUCUCUCUGCCCUUCCCCUGUUCAUGCUCUCUCUCUGAAAAUAAACAAACAUUAAAAAAGUUUUGUAAUUUAAAAACUUUUCAAAUAUACACAAGAGUAGAGAAUAAUGAACCCCAAAUACCUACAACCCAGCUUUAACAUUUAUUAACUCCUGGCUUGUGUUAUUUACAACCUACCCACCCUAAGAUUAUUUUGAAACAAAUCCAAGUUUGUAUCAUUUCCUCUUUAAAUAUUCUUAAAUUCCUUUUAAAUCUACAGGUUUAAAUCUACUUUUCUGUCCUUCUCUCCUUUUCUGUCUUGCUAUUUAUUUGUUCCAGAAACUUGUUUGUCCUGUAGUUUCAAAGUCUGGAUUUUUUGGAUUUUAUCCCUGUGGUGUCUUCAGUAAGUCCCUCUCUCUUUCACAUUUUCUGCAAAUAGGUAAUUAGAUCUAGAGGUCUGAUCAAAUUUAACUUCUAUUUUUUAUCAAGAACACUUCAUAAUAUUAAGGGUGAUGCAGGUUAUGUUAUACAUGGCAUGUAAAAAAAAUUAUUUUCUCUUUGUUGCUGGUAAAUAGAAAUAAAUUGAUUUUGUAUAUUGAUUUUAUACCAAACAUCUUGCUGACCUCACAUAUUAAUUCUAAUGGUUUAUCUACAGAUUCCUUUGAAUUUCUACACACAGAAUUGUAUCACCUGCAAUACUUUUUUCCUUUCUAAUACUGUUUCCUGUAGGUUUAUUGUAGAUGCUCUCAAUCAGGUUAAGGAAGUUCCCUUCAAUUCAGUUUGUGAGAGUUUUAAUCUUAAGUGGAUAUAAAAUUUUACCAAACGCGUUUUCUGCAUCUACUGAUAUGACCACGUGGAUUUUCUUUAGUCUGUUAAUACACUGAAUCGGCUUGAUUGGUUUUCAAAUGUUGAACCAGCUGUGCAUCCCCAGUACAGACUCCACUGGGUCGAGAUGUAUUAUCUUUAUUAUUGUGUUGCUGGAUUCAGUUUGCUAAUAUUGUGCUGAGGACUUUUAUAUCUAUGUUCAUGAGGGAGUGUUGCCUGUAGUUUUCUUGAAUAACCGUUUCCUGACAAACUCACAAACCUUGAGAUCAUGACCUGAACUGUCGUCGGAUGCUCAACUGACUGAGCCACCCAGGCGCCCCGGGAGAAGGACAUUUAUUGGGAAAUACUGUGAACUCUCAGCAACAGCAUUGAAGUCAAUCUCUACAUAUUACCUAAGUGGCAUACAGAGGAGGCUGAGGAAGCCUUUGCUCUGGGGAUUCUUCCAGUACAAGCCGAUAUGUGCCAUGGCCAUAACUAUAGCUUCUGUGAGGCACAGGAUCUUUGGAAGCAUAAACAGAACUGAGGGAGUUUUGGCUGGUUAUGUUACAGUGUAUUGAGUCUCUUAUAAUUGGUGUUUUUAAGCUUAAAGAAUAAAAGUAAAAAGUUCCCAGUAAAAA